UACGAAGGGGGCUAGCGUUGUUCGGAAUGACUGGGCGUAAAGGGCGCGUAGGCGGCGAUGUAAGUCAGGCGUGAAAGCCCCGGGCUCAACCUGGGAACGGCGCUUGAUACUGCGUUGCUUGAGGACGGGAGAGGAUGGUGGAAUUCCCAGUGUAGAGGUGAAAUUCGUAGAUAUUGGGAAGAACACCGGUGGCGAAGGCGGCCAUCUGGACCGUUUCUGACGCUGAGGCGCGAAAGCGUGGGGAGCAAACGGG
rnacentral:rRNA from 1 species